rnacentral:lncRNA from 1 species
CUCUCUUGUCUGCUGCCCGGCGAGACGUGACUUUGUUCCUCCUUUGCCUUCUGCGAUGAUGGUCUACUUCUGAAAGAACAGUUUCACUGAUGAAACGGAUUCAUUUCUGGCUUUCAGUCUUAAAGCUGCAUAUACAAGAAAUGCUUGAAGCCCUCGGCAUGGCCCUGUCUGUGACGCCUGCCCCGCUGGGGCCAUGGAGGGACACAGCUACUCACCCCUUCGGACUUCUUGUCAGGGAAGACGCAUGUCGACCCCCCGGCUGUGAAGUUGCAGUAAACCUUGAAGGAAUCCCUGGAGCAUCCUUGGUUAGGAUCGACCCAGUAUUCACCUGGAUUUCAGAGACGGGGAGGGAGGCAGGCAGAGUCAGAAGGAUUGCUCCCUGGAUGGUUCCGGAAGCCGCUGUGACAUUUCAGUCCAGCAGUUAAAAUGCACGCCCCAGGAAUGCCGCCAACACGGGCCUUUCUGGGGUUUACUUUAUUGCAUUUUGCUUCUCCUGCUGGGCCCAUAAAGAGAUGUGGACAAACUCAUUCACCAAGAACACAGCUGGUGCAUGAAGCAACUGGGACCGGAGGAGCCCUGGGGGCCAGGGAGACCACGGUCGCCCUUCUCACCCUGUUCACCCGGAGGACCGAUGAGCCCGAUCAGGCCUGGAUGACCCUGUGGGAAAAUGAAGACAGGAAGGGGCAUUUGAGGGAGCCACGCCUCAUGCUCGGCCACGGUGGGCCAGUUAGCACGCAGCACAGCCAUGGCACAGGAAGCUUUACAUCAUGGUCAGCCUCCCCUGGAAGGGGAACAGGCUCAACAGAGGGGCCAGGUGACGAAACGGCAGGUCCGAGGUGGCCCUUCGCUGGCCACAGUCACGUCUAAAAACAGACAGGGAGCCACAGACACUGAGACAGACCAAAGUGAUAAAGGGGUUUUCCUGAGUGGUAAUGUUUAUCUCUGUCUUUCUCUUCGUAUACGCUCUCCAAUUUCCUAUGGCAAAUCCGAACGCCUGCUCCUAUACGGAACUAAAACAAAGUUUGUGGACUGACACGGAAAGAAAGAUGCAGAGUAUUAUAGAUAUUACAAUCAUGGGUUGUUUUUCUAAAAAAAGAAGAAUCCAUGACACUCGCUGUCUAUGUUUGUCUUCUAGGAACCCAGGGCAAGCCUCGCAAGGCAGCCCCAGCUCUCAUUUGCCUUGGGGCUGGGGGCAGUGGUGGCGGACGUCAGAGUGGAAAUGAGAGGGCCCUCACUGCCUUCUGCUUCAUAUACAACCAUCUCACUCCUGAGUACCUUUUAUGUUUGUAAAUAAAUCAAUGCAAGUGGAAAACAAUUCCCAGCAGUUAGAAAAAUAAAAGGGCUUUGCUCCCACUGCAGAAAUGUCCUCACACCUCCUGCGGAAAGGAUCUGGGGCCGCUCAGCCCAGGGAGAGCAGCAACCUGGGAUCCUGGACACCCAUCAGCCGGGGCCUCUGUGCCUAGCUGGAAGGUUCUCCGUCAAUACCGCAGGGGCCUCCGGGAUCUCCCGAGCUGCUCAGGACCCCCCAGAGGCAGGGGCCAAGCCUCAAACACAGCGUGUCUAUUUUCCUUUGUCACCCCUCAGGUUCCCCACCACCAGCCUGCAGCAGGUGCUUGACACAUUUAGGUGACGGAUCAAGAGCUUGUUGAGUUUGAGACCCACGGCCACAAAUUUGAAGGCCCCGAGUCACAGUUGCUGGGGCAGGGAGGCCCCUCUUACCUUUUCACCU